UGAACAAGAUCUUGGUGACAGAAGACACUGUGGACUUUCAUUGACUUUGGCUUGGAGCUACAGGCCACCAAUGAUCUUAAUGAAAGAAUUCUGAGCCAUCCUGCCAUUCCUGAGAGCCCCUAAUGGACUUUAACCAUAUCCAAGGAGCAAAUUAAUCUGGCGGAUACAGAGGACCGAUUCAACUUUAACACAGCUACGAACAGG